UACGGAGGGUGCGAGCGUUGUCCGGAAUCACUGGGCGUAAAGGGCGCGUAGGCGGCCUGAUAAGUAGGGGGUGAAAUCCUGCGGCUUAACCGCAGGGCUGCCUUCUAAACUGUCAGGCUGGAGCACAGUAGAGGCAGGUGGAAUUCCCGGUGUAGCGGUGGAAUGCGUAGAGAUCGGGAAGAACAUCAGUGGCGAAGGCGGCCUGCUGGGCCGUAACUGACGCUGAGGAGCGAAAGCAUGGGGAGCGAACAGG
rnacentral:rRNA from 1 species